rnacentral:rRNA from 1 species
CCUACGGGGGGCUGCAGUGGGGAAUCUUAGACAAUGGGCGCAAGCCUGAUCUAGCCAUGCCGCGUGAUCGAUGAAGGCCUUAGGGUUGUAAAGAUCUUUCAGGUGGGAAGAUAAUGACGGUACCACCAGAAGAAGCCCCGGCUAACUCCGUGCCAGCAGCCGCGGUAAUACGGAGGGGGCUAGCGUUAUUCGGAAUUACUGGGCGUAAAGCGCACGUAGGCGGAUCGGAAAGUCAGAGGUGAAAUCCCAGGGCUCAACCCUGGAACUGCCUUUGAAACUCCCGAUCUUGAGGUCGAGAGAGGUGAGUGGAAUUCCGAGUGUAGAGGUGAAAUUCGUAGAUAUUCGGAGGAACACCAGUGGCGAAGGCGGCUCACUGGCUCGAUACUGACGCUGAGGUGCGAAAGCGUGGGGAGCAAACAGGAUUAGAUACCCCUGUAGUC